UACAGAGGUCUCGAGCGUUGUUCGGAUUCAUUGGGCGUAAAGGGUGCGUAGGCGGCGGGGCAAGUCUGAUGUGAAAUCCCGGGGCUCAACUCCGGAACUGCAUUGGAUACUGCCUUGCUCGAGUACUGGAGAGGAGACUGGAAUUUACGGUGUAGCAGUGAAAUGCGUAGAGAUCGUAAGGAAGACCAGUGGCGAAGGCGACUUUCUGGUCUGUAACUGACACUGAGGCGCGAAAGCGUGGGGAGCGAACAGG
rnacentral:rRNA from 1 species